UUCUUCUCAUGAGCUCCUCUCUGUCAAUCCAGUGGCAGUGUAUGGAUUCGCACGAGAAGUAGAGUGAUUCACAGUUUAACAGGUGUUUCCACUGCAUUGGGACAUGCCCAUGUCUGAUGUGAGACAUUC
rnacentral:snoRNA from 12 species